CCUUCAAGUCCUCCUUCUCUGCACCAUCCUCACCACAGCCCUCCCCCUCCAGCCAAGGCCUGCAUCCUCCUCUGCACCCAACACUAGCCUCUAGUCCAGAACAUCAGCUGGGCUGUAGUUUUUGGACCUGAUAGCAUCCCAGCCAGGCCUGCCUCACGAGUUCUGAUGUCAGAUUUCCACAGCCAUUUGUCACGAGGCAACAAAUCCGCAACCUUGGCUGCUCACACAUGCCAAGAUAGUGGAUCGAUCCCCGCAUCCCCAGCCAGGCGGAACUUGCCAAGCGAUCAACCAGAGCUGUCCAGCCACCCUCUGGUCACAGGACAGCUUUCAGGAACAGCAUACAACAUUAAGUAACUUUCUUCUCCUUCUAUUAAUGACAAGUUUGUUUUUUAGGAUUGAUUCUGCUUCUGUAAGUAACAUAAUCUAGAAAGUUUGUAAUAUUAGA